rnacentral:lncRNA from 1 species
AUUCAGACGACGAGCACGGGACACUCCGAAAGCGGAACCCAUAUUCCUGGAACCCAUUCGCUGACGGCAAACUCCAGUUCUACAAUAAAGAGCUGGAAUCCCUGGUGCGAGGCAAGCAGGACCGAGCAGUACAGGAGUUCUGGCGGCUGCUGGCCAUCUGCCACACCGUGAUGGUGCAGGAGAAAGACAACCAGCUGCUGUACCAGGCUGCCUCCCCUGAUGAGGAGGCACUGGUCGCCGCUGCCCGGAACUUUGGCUACGUGUUUCUGUCUCGGACCCAGGACACGAUCACCCUGGUGGAGCUGGGGGAAGAAAGGGUCUACCAGGUUCUGGCCAUGAUGGAUUUCAACAGCGUUCGCAAACGGAUGUCAGUGUUAGUCCGAAACCCAGAGGGCUCCAUCUGCCUCUAUACCAAGGGUGCCGACACGGUCAUCUUGGAGCGUCUUCACCAUAAGGGUGUCAUGGAGGCCACCACAGAGGAGGUCUUGGCUGCCUUUGCAGAGCAGACCCUGCGCACCCUGUGCCUGGCCUACAAGGAUGUGGCGGAGGAUGCCUACAAAGAAUGGGAACCGGAACACCAGGAGGCCGCCCUCCUGCUGCAGAACCGCGCGCAGGCCCUGCACCAGGUGUAUAAUAAGCUGGAGCAGAACCUGCAGCUGCUGGGAGUCACAGCCAUUGAAGACAAACUGCAAGAUGGUGUCC